GGACCUCCGAUCAAGUGAGA
rnacentral:rRNA from 1 species